CCUACGGGUGGCUGCAGUGAGGAAUAUUGGUCAAUGGCCGGAAGGCUGAACCAGCCAAGCCGCGUGAAGGACGAAGGUGCCAAGCAUUGUAAACUUCUUUUGUCAAGGGACAAAAAAAGGCGAGAGAGAAGGACCGAGGGUACGUGAAGAAAAAGCAUCGGCCAACUCAGGGCCAGCAGCGGCGGUACUACGGAGGAUGCGAGCGUUAUCCGGAUUUAUUGGGUUUAAGGGGUGCGUAGGCGGGCUGUUAAGUCAGCGGUAAAAGCCCGGGGCUCAACCCCGGCGAGCCGUUGAAACGUGCUGUCUUGAGAUGUCGAGAGGUAUGCGGAAUGCGCAGUGUAGCGGUGAAAUGCUUAGAUAUUGCGCAGAACUCCGAUUGCGAAGGCAGCAUCCCGACGGCGCUCUGACGCUGAGGCACGAAAGCGUGGGUAUCGAACAGGAUUAGAUACCCGAGUAGUC
rnacentral:rRNA from 1 species